UACGUAGGGGGCUAGCGUUGCUCGGAAUCACUGGGCGUAAAGCGCACGUAGGCGGAUUGUUAAGUCAGGGGUGAAAUCCUGGAGCUCAACUCCAGAACUGCCUUUGAUACUGGCGAUCUUGAGUCCGGGAGAGGUGAGUGGAACUGCGAGUGUAGAGGUGAAAUUCGUAGAUAUUCGCAAGAACACCAGUGGCGAAGGCGGCUCACUGGCCCGGUACUGACGCUGAGGCACGAAAGCGUGGGGAGCAAACAGG
rnacentral:rRNA from 1 species